GAAAUGCGAUAAUUAAUGUGAAUUGCAGAAUUCAGUGAAUCAUCGAGUCUUUGAACGCACAUUGCGCCCCCUGGUAUUCCGGGGGGCAUGCCUGUCCGAGCGUCAUUGCUGCCCUCAAGCACGGCUUGUGUGUUGGGCUUCCGUCCCUGGCAACGGGGACGGGCCCAAAAGGCAGUGGCGGCACCAUGUCUGGUCCUCGAGCGUAUGGGGCUUUGUCACCCGCUCCCGUAGGUCCAGCUGGCAGCUAGCCUCGCAACCAAUCUUUUUAACCAGGUUGACCUCGGAUCAGGUAGAGAUACCCGCUGAACAUAAGC
rnacentral:misc_RNA from 1 species